GACGAACGCUGGCGGCGUGCUUAACACAUGCAAGUCGAACGGAAAGGCCCUGCUUUUGUGGGGUGCUCGAGUGGAGAGCGGGUGAGUAACACGUGAGUAACCUGCCCUUGACUUUGGGAUAACUUCAGGAAACUGGGGCUAAUACCGGAUAGGAGCUCCUGCUGCAUGGUGGGGGUUGGAAAGUUUCGGCGGUUGGGGAUGGACUCGCGGCUUAUCAGCUUGUUGGUGGGGUAGUGGCUUACCAAGGCUUUGACGGGUAGCCGGCCUGAGAGGGUGACCGGCCACAUUGGGACUGAGAUACGGCCCAGACUCCUACGGGAGGCAGCAGUGGGGAAUAUUGCACAAUGGGCGGAAGCCUGAUGCAGCAACGCCGCGUGCGGGAUGACGGCCUUCGGGUUGUAAACCGCUUUCGCCUGUGACGAAGCGUGAGUGACGGUAAUGGGUAAAGAAGCACCGGCUAACUACGUG
rnacentral:rRNA from 1 species